rnacentral:rRNA from 1 species
UACGGAGGUCCCAAGCGUUGUUCGGAUUUAUUGGGCGUAAAGGGUGCGUAGGCGGCGGAGUAAGUUGGGUGUGAAAUCCCGGGGCUCAACCUCGGAAUUGCAUUCAAUACUGCUUCGCUUGAGUACUGGAGAGGAGGCUGGAAUUUACGGUGUAGCAGUGAAAAUGCGUAGAUAUCGUAAGGAAGGCCGGUGGCGAAAGCGAGCCUCUGGACAGUUACUGACGCUGAUGCACGAAGGCCAGGGGAGCAAACGGG